GUAUGGAGAUAUUCUACUUUUAAUGGAGUAUACCACUUGGUUGUUCAUAGCCGGUUGCUGGUUUCACUGAGAUGAAGCAUGGAUCGAAGGAAUUUGGAGUUUGCAAGAUUGACGGACUUGACAAUUUACCAGUGAUUUGCAGAGAUUUUAAUCACUUGAACAUCGAGAGAUUACGCUUGCACAUCAUAUAAAAUCAGGAUAAAAGUUGAAAUCUUUCCAAGGAAAUUUGUUCCACUUUUUAGGAGAAAAGGGAUAAAGAUUGGUAAAUCAGGAGGACUGGUCAGUCAAGCCUAGAGUGGUGACCAAUUUUUGGAAGUACUACAAUUAUUCAAUCCUAUGUAGUGUCUGUGAAGUGUAACAAGAAAAGGGAUAGAGACUGGUAGCAUCCAGAAGAAAACUGGCCAGACCGGUGAUCAUUUCUUAGAAGUACUACUCCCAUUCAAACCUAUGCAGUGUGUGUUCUGCAACUGCGCAAAGAAGGGACUUGGCUGGUGCCGAAAGAAGAGGAAAACGCCCGCGAUGGAGGAGGAGAAAAAGACGAGACCGCUUCUUGGGGGUCUUUCGUGGUUGCCGAUCAGUACUGGAAUUUUGACCAUCUUGACGUGUGUCGUAACGUA